AUUGAACGCUGGCGGCAGGCUUAACACAUGCAAGUCGAGCGGGGGAAGGUAGCUUGCUACCGGACCUAGCGGCGGACGGGUGAGUAAUGCUUAGGAAUCUGCCUAUUAGUGGGGGACAACAUCUCGAAAGGGAUGCUAAUACCGCAUACGUCAUACGGGAGAAAGCAGGGGAUCUUCGGACCUUGCGCUAAUAGAUGAGCCUAAGUCGGAUUAGCUAGUUGGUGGGGUAAAGGCCUACCAAGGCGACGAUCUGUAGCGGGUCUGAGAGGAUGAUCCGCCACACUGGGACUGAGACACGGCCCAGACUCCUACGGAAGGCAGCAGUGGGGAAUAUUGGACAAUGGGGGGAACCCUGAUCCAGCCAUGCCGCGUGUGUGGAGAAGGCCUUAUGGUUGUAAAGCACUUUAAGCGAGGAGGAGGCUACUUUAGUUAAUACCUAGAGAUAGUGGACGUUACUCGCAGAAUAAGCACCGGCUAACUCUGUGCCAGCCGCCGCUGUAA
rnacentral:rRNA from 1 species